rnacentral:rRNA from 1 species
UUUUUCCUACGGGAGGCAGCAGUGGGGAAUAUUGCACGAUGGGGGGAACCCUGAUGCAGCGACGCCGCGUGAGUGAAGAAGUAUCUCGGUACGUAAAGCUCUAUCAGCAGGGAAGAAAAUGACGGUACCUGACUAAGAAGCCCCGGCUAACUACGUGCCAGCAGCCGCGGUAAUACGUAGGGGGCAAGCGUUAUCCGGAUUUACUGGGUGUAAAGGGAGCGUAGACGGCAUAGCAAGUCUGAAGUGAAAGCCCGUGGCUCAACCGCGGAACUGCUUUGGAAACUGUUAAGCUGGAGUACUGGAGA